UCUGGUGUCGUCUAAUCGGCAGGAUGCCUGACUCUGAAUCAGGUGAUUGAGGUUCGAGUCCUUGCGCCAGAAC
rnacentral:tRNA from 1 species